CAGAAUCAGCUCCAGGUCAUCACUUGACGUCGACUCCCACAUUAUCGCGUGAUUAGGAGUGUUUGAAGGUGACUCCCUCCUCCUGCUCCUCGGUCAGCUCGCCUCCUGACUGCAGACCUCCUCAGGGCUUCCCCCUCCGUCCUCCUCUGAUCCAGGAUCUGCUGACGGAGGAACUGGAUCCUCUCCUGAUGAACACACAAACAACAGCAACAACACACCUCAUCCGAUUCGUGUUUCGCUCUCCUCCUCAGCUCUCUCUCUGGAUGAUAUGAAGCACAGACGAAUCGUCUGCAGCGUUGGACAAAUCCUCCGGUCAGAGAGACCAGCAGGGCCAGACCCAAAAGGAACCCUGCAACAAAGACCAGAACCAGUAAAGAGCAUGCAGGCAGAGAUGACUAUUAUUUCUGCUGAUCCAGCUUCUCUUCACUGUUUGUCGUUUCGUUGUGUGAUCGACAAGAUCUAAAAAACGGAAUACUUCCUCAGUAAUUCAGCUGCUGAGGCUUCUGAGUAAAUUUCACAUCCACAUUUCUAACUGGACUGGCUUCACACCUGCUUUCGUACUUUACUGUCAAACUCCAACAGUUGGGCACCUAAAGUUAAAGACGUAAAGAACAAA